rnacentral:rRNA from 1 species
AACAAAAACAUGGCCUUUAGAGAGGAAUUUAAGGUCGGGCCUGCCCACUGAAGUAGUUGAAGGGCCGCGGUAUUUUGACCGUGCAAAGGUAGCAUAAUCAUUAGUCUUUUAAUUGAGGGCUGGAAUGAAUGGUUUGACGAAAUAUUAACUGUCUCUUUAUAAUAAAUAGAAUUUAACCUUUGAGUCAAAAGGCUUAGAUGAAUAUGAAAGACGAGAAGACCCUAUAGAUCUUUAUAUAGUUUUAUAAUUGCUUUAUUUAGUUGUUUUAUUUACGAUUAUUUAACUAUAUUUUGUUGGGGUGACAUGAAGAUAAAAGUAACUCUUUAUAAUUAAAACAUUGAUUUAUGGGUGAUUGAUCCGUUAUUAACGAUUAUAAGAUAAAGUUACCUUAGGGAUAACAGCGUAAUUUUUUUUGAGAGUUCUUAUCGACAAAAAAGAUUGCGACCUCGAUGUUGGAUUAAGGAAUAUGGUUAGGUGUAGCAGUUUAAUUAAUAAGUCUGUUCGACUUUUAAAUCCUUACGUCAUCUGAGUCCAGACCCGGA